rnacentral:rRNA from 1 species
CGGUGUUUAACUGGCGUGAUGUGGGACGUCCUACCGGUGGGCUUAGCCUCGCGAGGGGCGGCCCAACUAAUAUCCCGUCGCGGUGCUCUUUACUGAGUGUCGAGUCGGGCCGGUACGUUUACUUUGAACAAAUUAGAGUGCUUAAAGCAGGCUAUCCUCGCCUGAAUACUGCGUGCAUGGAAUAAUGGAAUAGGACCUCGGUUCUAUUUUGUUGGUUUUCGGAACCCCGAGGUAAUGAUUAAUAGGGACAGGUGGGGGCAUUCGUAUUGCGACGUUAGAGGUGAAAUUCUUGGAUCGUCGCAAGACGGACAGAAGCGAAAGCAUUUGCCAAAAAUGUUUUCAUUAAUCAAGAACGAAAGUUAGAGGUUCGAAGGCGAUCAGAUACCGCCCUAGUUCUAACCAUAAACGAUGCCAGCUAGCGAUCCGCCGAAGUUCCUCCGAUGACUCGGCGGGCAGCUUCCGGGAAACCAAAGCUUUUGGGUUCCGGGGGAAGUAUGGUUGCAAAGCUGAAACUUAAAGGAAUUGACGGAAGGGCACCACCAGGAGUGGAGCCUGCGGCUUAAUUUGACUCAACACGGGAAACCUCACCAGGCCCAGACACCGGAAGGAUUGACAGAUUGAUAGCUCUUUCUUGAUUCGGUGGGUGGUGGUGCAUGGGCCGUUCUUAGUUGGUGGAGCGAUUUGUCUGGUUAAUUCCGAUAACGAACGAGACUCUAGCCUGCUAAAUAGGCGUACCUUAUGGUAUCGCGAAGGCCCCCGGCUUCGGCCGGUGGGUUUUUACUACCAACGUACAAACAAAUCUUCUUAGAGGGACAGGCGG